AUGUGACUGACUCCCCGGGCCGGCUGUUCCGCGCGCUGAAGUCCCUCCCUCCGCCGUCAGAGCAGCUGCAAAAUCAGAAACGGUAAACCCCUGACUUACCUGCUCCCCACACCAGUGCUGUUCGAGGCCCUGAGUGGGACGCUAGCUCCGUCUGCUACUGUCUGCACAGGUCACAGGUCACACAGGAUGCUAGCUCUGUCUGCUACUGUCUGCACAGGUCACAGGUCACACAGGACGCUAGCUCUGCCUGCACAGGUCACAGGUCACACAGGACGCUAGCUCUGCCUGCUACUGCCUGCACAGGUCACAGGUCACACAGGACGCUAACUCUGCCUGCUACUGCCUGCACAGGUCACAGGUCACACAGGAUGCUAGCUCUGCCUGCUACUGUCUGCACGGCCAAAAGCCACAAGGUGACGGCGGUGGGUUUUCUCAGACGGUUCAG
ensembl:lncRNA